rnacentral:SRP_RNA from 1 species
GCCGGGCGUGGUGGCUCACGCCUGUAAUCCAGCACUUUGGGAGGCUGAGGCGGGUGGAUCACUUGAGGUCAGGAGUUUGUGACCAGCCUGGCCAACAUAGUGAAACUCUGUCUCUA